GAUGAACGCUGGCGGCGUGCCUAAUACAUGCAAGUCGAGCGAACGGAUUAAGAGCUUGCUCUUAUGAGGUUAGCGGCGGACGGGUGAGUAACACGUGGGUAACCUGCCCAUAAGACUGGGAUAACUCCGGGAAACCGGGGCUAAUACCGGAUAACAUUUUGAACCGCAUGGUUCGAAAUUGAAAGGCGGCUUCGGCUGUCACUUAUGGAUGGACCCGCGUCGCAUUAGCUAGUUGGCGAGGUAACGGCGCACCAAGGCAACGAUGCGUAGCCGACCUGAGAGGUUGAUCGGCCACACUGGGACUGAGAACCGGCCCAGAAUCCUACGGGAGGCAGCAGUAGGGAAUCUUCCGCAAUGGACGAAAGUCUGACGGAGCAACGCCGCGUGAGUGAUGAAGGCUUUCGGGUCGUAAAACUCUGUUGUUAGGGAAGAACAAGUGCUAGUUGAAUAAGCUGGCACCUUGACGGUACCUAACCAGAAAGCCACGGCUAACUACGUGCCAGCCGCCGCCGUAA
rnacentral:rRNA from 1 species